GCACACUGACAGCAGAGUUUUGAAGAGGUAGGAGCCAAAGGGAUCCCCUGGCCCACAGGCCCUGUCAAAUCAUGGGUGGAAUGUGGAAAAGGGAAAGGAAUAUGAGACCUGCACCUUCCUUUCCCAUUGUGGGUGUGCUACAAUUUGAAGGAAGCCAAUCACUUAUCCAUCUAAUUUAUGGAAGAUCUUGAUGUGAAGGGCUCUUUGUAGAUCCCAUCAGAGCUACCCAGGUAAAUGAGCAAUGACUGAUUCAAUUAACUGAUAAGAAUCUAUUACCACUGAUCCAAACUAUCUUAUUUGAACACAGAGCAUUAUGUACCAGUAACUAUCAGAGUGGCUGUCAUUUCCUUUUGAUGAAAUAGAAGAGCCUGUGUGUGUUGCAGCCCAGAAGGUGGCGCCAUACACAUUCAAGGGAUAAUUGAUUUUUAAGUGCCAGUGCACACUGCGGAUAGCAUUUCGUGAGAAAUUCCUCUAACUGGAUAGUUUGGAGAGCAGAAUCUACCCUUUUUGUGUCCAACAAGCCUUCCCCUUUGAGAAAGUCAAGGCAUUCACCCUCUACGUGUUUUCUUCCACUGUCAAGUUCGGUGGGAGAUUAGUGGGCAUGUGAGUUGGAGGACUUUGAAAUCCUGGCUUUGCCAUUCACAGACUGUAUGGCCCUGAAAAACCUUGGUUUUUCUCAAUAUGAUUUAGGAUUAAUAAGAACUCUGUCAUGAGGCUCUAAGGAUUAAAUGAAAUAAUGUAUGCUA
rnacentral:lncRNA from 1 species